rnacentral:tRNA from 1 species
GCAUUCGUAGCUCAGCUGGAUAGAGCGUCCCCCUCCUAAGGGGAAGGCCGGGGGUUCGAAUCCCUUCGAGUGCACCA